rnacentral:rRNA from 1 species
AUUGAACGCUGGCGGCAGGCCUAACACAUGCAAGUCGAGCGGAUGAGUGGAGCUUGCUCCAUGAUUCAGCGGCGGACGGGUGAGUAAUGCCUAGGAAUCUGCCAGGUAGUGGGGGACAACGUUUCGAAAGGAACGCUAAUACCGCAUACGUCCUACGGGAGAGAGCAGGGGACCUUCGGGCCUUGCGCUAUCAGAUGAGCCUAGGUCGGAUUAGCUAGUUGGUGAGGUAAAGGCUCACCAAGGCGACGAUCCGUAACUGGUCUGAGAGGAUGAUCAGUCACCAUGGAACUGAGACACGGUCCAGACUCCUACGGGAGGCAGCAGUGGGGAAUAUUGGACAAUGGGCGAAAGCCUGAUCCAGCCAUGCCGCGUGUGUGAAGAAGGUCUUCGGAUUGUAAAGCACUUUAAGUUGGGAGGAAGGGCAGUGAGUUAAUACCUUGCUGUUUUGACGUUACCGACAGAAUAAGCACCGGCUAACUUCGUGCCAGCAGCCGCGGUAACAC